GACGAACCGUGCGAACGUUGUUCGGAAUCACUGGGCUUAAAGGGCGCGUAGGCGGACGACCAAGUCGGGGGUGAAAUCUUUCGGCUCAACCGGAAAAUAGCCUUCGAUACUGGCCGUCUGGAGGGAGGUAGGGGCGUGUGGAACUUCCGGUGGAGCGGUGAAAUGCGUUGAUAUCGGAAGGAACUCCGGUGGCGAAAGCGGCAUCCUGGACCAAUACUGACACUGAAAAGCGAAAGCCAGGGGAGCAAACGGG
rnacentral:rRNA from 1 species